CAGAGAGAGGGGACAGAGAGCAGGAACAGGGGGAGAGAGAACAAAUCCCCUUUGUAACCUGUACUUAUAAUGUUCUGUUCCUCUAGAGAAACCUCACAAAGAAGGAAGCUAAGAUAAUUUAAAAAUCCAGAGGCAAUUGUAGAACCUAUGGUCUGUAUCUUCAGAGAGAGAGAAGAAUCUUGCCCAUACGACAAGGAGGGGAGGGGUCUUGGCAUAUAGAACAUGUAUCAAAUAAACACCUCAAUAAAGGUCUUUUCAAAAUAAAGGAUCAUUAAGAUUAAACUUGGAGAAAAAUUAAAAGAAAUGGUUGACAACAAAAUCUAAUAUAAAAGUUGAAAUCUCCAAGAUAGCAAAGCAAAACAAAACAAAACAAAAAAAAAAAACAAUACUAAAGACUGGAGGUAAAUAAAUUGGGUCACUUGAGGACUUUAAACAUCUGAACAAAAUUAUUUCCAGACACACAGAUUAUAAAAGUCAGACAAUACAUUAUCAAACAAAUCAUAAAAUGAAAUUUACUUACAGUAAAAGGCAGGUUCCCUGGACCAAGUUAAUAACUCCCUGCCAGCAUUCACGUCAUGAAUUAGAAGAUGCCAGGCAAAUGCAUUCAAAAUUACAUAAAAUGCAUUUUCCAGCAUAGAUUUCUGAACCCAGCCAAAUGCUUGUGAAGCAUGAAGACAGUAUAACAGUAAACUGAGUAUCUUAUGGUUCUGGGGAUCAGAAAAGCAAAUGUGUCUCACUGAACAGCCUAAGAUACACAACAGGACCAUGCCAUGCUCUAGCUUUCUCCAGAUUCUGGGAUGCCACCAGUCCUUAGCUACUGGGACCUGUGAGUCUUUUGGCCAUUAUUUUGAUUCUGAUUCUUCUGGGUUUGAAGGAAGCUCAUGAAUGCUCAACAACCCAUGAAUAGACAACUUAGGCUCGCCUCUUUAUAUUAAGAACAGCUCAUUGGGAGCUGUAUUUCAUCUAUUAAUUAUCAUGCAGCAAAAACAAUUCAUGGGUUCUAAACACAAGAAAGUAGAUGUAUUUGGAGACAAUUAAUCUGCCUAUCACAGUGUGUGAAACUGAAAAGCAGAGUAUUUUGAAACCUAGAGGUUAAUACCAACAGAAAUAUCUGAAAGAUUGGGUUUCUUCUACCAAAAUCAAUUUGGGAAUAGGAGGGAGAACAGAAGAUUUCUAUAGUUCCAUCCUAAGACAUAGAAAUAUUUUUGUAUUAUGAAUCAUGCACAGAAAUUGCUUUCAUAAGAUAGCAAUGAUGGAAUUUUGUAGAGCUGUUUCUCUUUCUUUCUAGCUUUGGUUGGUUCCUAUCAGAAGCUUACACCAAUAGGCUUAUGAAUCCAUAAUCAAAACAAGAAUUUUUAAUGUAUAGCUUUUGAUUUGUAAGAUGUAGGCUUUUGCUGACUGAAGAAAAGUCCUUUGAGGCUGAAGAGGAUGCCCUACAAAAGCUUGACACUGGUACAUUUUUGUCAUAAAACCUAUCUGGGAAGAGCCAAACAAGCAUUUGUAACAAGAGACUGAGCCUCUUUCAUUCUGUCUAGAAGGGAAAAUGAGCCUGAGUGGGUUUUGGCACUUGGAGCCAGGCCACUAAACCUGGUAAGGCAAGGGAGCCAAUCGGCAGUGAGAUUUCCCCUCCUCCUCCACAGCAGGGAAAUGUAUUCAAGUAGAAGCAAGAUCUACAGACUAUCCAUCACUUGGCCAUGAUGGAGACAACUUAGCUGCUGUAGUGGAUACCCAGUGAGGGUCUCCUAACAAUGCCCUUGCAUCUGCCACAAGUGGCAUGAUUUACUUACCUAUUUUUCUAAACUUUACAACCUGUCCCUUGAUAACACCCCACAGGGAAGUCAUGUAUCCCCUGAACUAGACCAUGCUGAAUCACACACAUUACACUAGUGCUUCUUUGGGGAAGUAAUUCUUGAGGGCCUGCCUCAUCCUUGUGUGUAUCUGAGAAUCACACAUCCCUCUCCACAGAUUUUGGCUCCUACAGUUCAAUAAUCAGGCUCCUUCCUUAACUACAUCCCACUAUACUCUGAAAUCUUGCAUGGCAGAUGGCAGCUUUUGCCUCCACAUCCCCAGCAAUCACUCAAGCCCUAAUGCAGAAAGUACUUGAUAAAUGAUCUCAUAAUGAAUAAGUACUUAUGAUGUUCCAGCGUAAAACCUCUCCCUGACCGACAUAUUAAAAUUUUCAGAGAUUUCAUAUAUACAUAGAGUAAAUUCCACACACAGGGUAAACCAGCUUGAUAAGAAGCAGAUAAAGAAACUGUUAAUUUAGCCUGAAUGUCUAUAAUAACAUUAUCUAAAAAUAUUAGAGGUGUUUUUCAAAUUUAAUGUCUUAUUUACAGAUGCAUUUCAUAAUUAUUGCUCAUCAAGGUUCAAACUUCUUUACCACAUACUAUCAAUGCUAUAUUGAAUUAUUUUCAUAACAUUAUUUCUUUUUACAUAUUUCUUUUUACACGUAUGGGUAAGUUAGUUAAUCCCAAUGGCAUAUGUUGAUGUUUAAUGAAAUAUUAUAGUUACAUGUACAAAUAAAAUACAUACAUGUAGUGGACACAGAAGUAUAUACCAAAGCAUGCCACAUGAGAAGUUGGUCUAUAACUCCCUAUCUUUCUGUAUGUUGAUAAUGCAAUCCAGGUCUUUAAAAUUUAUAAAGUCCUUCAUAACUACAGUAAUAGUUUAUUAUAUAUUAUAUGGAAAUUUUUAUACUUAAUAAAAACAUGUUCUAUAAAUCAGUUUUUAUGCAUUACCCCAAUUCAAAAUUAUACAUUUUAUAGUUUCCUUUAAAUUUAAUAGUGUAUUACUUCUUUAUAAAGGAAACUUACUUUCUAGUUAAUACAAGAAACCUAGGAAAUACAAAUUAUAGCUGCCAGCCCACAAACCUAAAAAAAACGAAGGGAACACUUAAAUAUAAAAAUUUUAAAGCAUUAUUAAAUAUUCAUAUCUAAACCCAUUUAAUAUUCAAAACUGAUGUCUUUCCUUAGCCAUUUUGUCCAAAGGAGUUUGCAUAUGUAGAAUAUGCAAGAAGAAAUUGCAACUGACAUGAAAUGAAAUCAAAUAUACUAAAUAGGGACUUGAAGCCAAAAUCAUUUAACUAUUAUAGAAGCUGACUGUGUAGCCAAGGGCAUACACCAGAGGAAUUACCUUCACCAGCUACAAACAGCACCUUCCAGAGAAAUGUGCAGAGAUUUUAAUCUUAACAACAAUUCCAGUAUUUGGAGGAGGCAAUAAGAUGCAGUAUUAUUAUAAAUAUCUAUAAACUAUGAUCAUUGACUUUGUGAAGCCUAAGUUCUGUCAAUAUCUCUAACUUAGACACCUGUUUUCAGUGCAACUCCCAGACAAAGAGCAGCUCCUAAUAGUAUAGUUUGUAGUUCCCUUUCUCUGUGUCUUGAUGCGGUAGCCCUCAGGUUUCCCCAGGCCUCGUACUUUUGUCCUCUCAUUUUUCAGGGCAUCCCAUCACAAUUACUGCAGGAUUAGCUCUGGGCCAGGCUCUGUGCUAAGCCCUUUUCAAACAUCAUCUCAGAGUAUAGUCAUAUCCCUCCGAGGACAUGAGUAGAUGUCAGGGGAUGUGACAAUGAGGAUCAGUAACUGCCUGACACUGAUGAAGUUGUCACCUAGGAAAACUCAACCUUAAUUGACACACUUGCGGACUUUCACUUCUUUCUUGGUUUCUGAAGAAAAGUUCAUUUGAGACGCCCCAAAUGCAGAAGUAAAUAAAUUUAUAUAGAACCUAUUUGGUAGAAAUACAAUGCAGUGUCCACAGUGUAAAAGUCCUCCUCCACCCUGCACGUCAGGAAAAAAAAAAAAAAACUCCAGUGGAAAUAAACUAAAGGCCACUGCUCUCAACCCUUAAUCUAAAAUGUGCCCAAUGAGCCCAGUCAGAAAGCCACGACUUUUCCAGUGAGAUAUGAAGGACUGAAUUAGGCCCAUUGUGAUGUCCUAUUUAACCAACAAAUGUGGGCGGUUUAGACACCUGCAGUUUCUAGCAAACCCUAUAAUCUUCUCCAUCGUUGGGGAAGCACAUGAAACCUCCCUGAAAGCAAACCCGAGAAGAAGCGGGGAGGAGAGGACAGAACUGCAUGGAGAGAUGCUCCAUCCCAUCUUCCUGACAGACUAAUGGACGAGAGUGAGCUAGAAAGCCAUCCCCAUCCUCACAAUGUACUCCAGGCUGGCUUCCACUCUCUUCUCUUCAAUCCUUAGCCCUUCACUUUGGAAUCCUGACUUCACGUUACAAACUGCCUCAACUAAGUCUUUACUUCCACCCGAGUCUUCCAGAUACUCAAAAGAAUCUGCACCGUGAAGCUCCAUAGCAGGACCCCUGCAGGAGAGACAGCAACAGCAGCCCAUGGGGAGCCUUCCCACCUGUAGCCUUCUCAGCCUCCUCUCUAAAGAAACCAUGAUCAUCCAAGUUAACAACUACAAGUAGAUCACAAGCAUAGAAGCCUUCACUGACAGACGUGAACGGGAGCGAAGAAUGGAGAGAAGCAGCAGGAAGCAUGCAGAAGAGCAAGGUGGAACCCCAAACCAGCAGCUUGAUCGCCCUGGGGAAAAUCUGAAUUGGAAUCUGUUGUUGAAAUGGAAGUUACAAACGUGAAUGUUCAAAAGCCCUAAAGCAAGCAGCAGCCAAAGAUUAGAAAUCACAGCUUUCAGAGCCCUCAUCCAGUGGCUGAUGGAAGCAGAGGCAGACAUCCACAGAUGUACACUGAAC